AAACAGAAAUUUCAAGGAAUCAUUUCUCUAGUUUGUUACUACAGAAGUUCCUCCGAAUGCAUAGCAUACUAGAAACCACAAGGAGGAGGAAGCACAGCGUUCUUCUCUCCUGAGCGUGAAGCUGGUUCUUGGUGUUGCUAUUGCAGCCGCCAUUUUCAUUGGUGAUCCAUCUUGUCCUGCUCUGGGAGAGCAAGAGGACGAGGACACCAUCUGAGU